AGCCGCGCACGACUAGCGGAAGCUGAAGGGGCGAGGGGCCCGGCGCACGCGCACAGCCGCACAGCAUGGCCGCUACAAGACGUUAGGGACGGGGAGUGAGGAGCGGUGCUCCUGCGUGCCCAAACGGACACAGUGGGGUCCGCGGGGCAACAUGGUGGCCGGCCGAGCUGAGGGGUGGGCCCUCUGCAGGCGGAGAACGCAGGAGCAACUGCGGUCGGCAGGUCGCGGCAGAUGAACACGCUCCAGUAUGUGACCGGUUUUAAAGUAGGGAAACCGUACUUCUAUAUCCCCACGUCAGAGAAAUGAGGUGUCAGAGGCCACACCUGCGGACAGCGUCCGGAUGUGCGAGGGGCUGUGUGCUGCCCCGGGCCGGCACCUUGAGCCCCAGCUCGCCCUCAGGCACGGGUCUCCCCAUAGUCCAGGUCUGCUCGUCGCGCCGUCUGCAUAUCCCUCCUCUCUCUGACGCCCUUUCAUGGGCGCCCUCGUUCCUCCGCCGGCGCUGUGGGACCCACCUCACGUGGCAUCUCUUUGGACCUGACCCUGGAGAGGACACGGAUCCCCCCUUUGUGGGCAUACUGUGCCCCAGGACUUGGACUUGCACAGCUAGUUACUGAUGCCGUUCUGUGCUGAUUUGCCUUGUGUCUCCCUGCCUCUUGUAAGAUACAGGGUGCACAUGGUGUCUUAUUUACACUUCAGUCUCUCUUAGCACAGUGCCUGGAACUAACAGACACAAGAAACACUUGUUGCCUGGCCGGCUGAGUGAAUGCGUGAACGCAUGUGGUUUCCUGAAGUUUCUGCCAUGUUCAGUACAGGAAGAGUGGCAAAGCAGGCAACCACGGAGAAGGAAGAGGGUGUCUCUGUUGUCGAGGCAGUCUCCGAGAUGGUAGGCGCGAGGCAAAGGUGUGACUUGCUUGGUGGUGCUGCUGUAGAAGAGGGGCAUCACUUAAUGAAGAUAUGUGGAGCCAGAAACAGUAUUUGCAUCUUCUUAAAGAUCAGCUCUGUUGAGGUAUGACUUACGUAAAAUAAAAUGCGACCACUUUGGGUGUACGUUUUCACGAA